GGAAGCAUUCGAAAACCUUUGAACUUAAAGAAGAGAUGAAGAAAUGCGAGAGAAAAAGAGAAGAAGAAAAAAUCCAAAAGUGUGGUGGUGGGUAAGGUGUUGCGGCAGUAAAAGGGAAAGGGAAUUAGGGAUUUAAAAAGUGUGGGGGUGCUGCUGUAAGAAAAGGGAAUUAAGGUUUAAAAAGAAAAGAAAGUAAAAAUUAAAAGGUAAAAGUAAAAUCAUUUUUAGCAAAGGUCAUUUUAGUAAAAUAGAAAAAUUU
rnacentral:lncRNA from 1 species